UACGUAGGAGGCGAGCGUUGUCCGGAGUUACUGGGCGUAAAGGGUGCGCAGGUGGCCGUGCGCGUGGGGAGUGAAAUCGCCUGGCUUAACUGGGCGGGGGCUUUCCAGACGGCGCGGCUUGAGCCACAGAGGGGGGCGUGGAAUUCCGGGUGGAGCGGUGAAAUGCGUAGAGAUCCGGAGGAACACCAAAGGCGAAGGCAGUGUCCUGGGGAGUACCUGACGCUCAGGUGCGAAAGCCAGGGGAGCGAACGGG
rnacentral:rRNA from 1 species